ACCUGAGUGGCUCAUUUGGUUAAGCGUCUGACUUUGGCUCAGGUCAUGAUCUCAGGGUUCAUGGGUUUGAUCCCCACGUCAGGUU
rnacentral:tRNA from 1 species